UAUACUAAAAUUGGAAUGAUACAGAGAAAACUGGAAUGAUACAGAGAAGAUUAGAACGGCCUCUGUGCAAAAAUGAUACACAAAUUCAUGAGGCGUUCCAUAUUUUU